AACGCAUAUUGCGCCCUUUGGUAUUCCGAAGGGCAUGCCUGUUCGAGCGUCAUUAUCACCUAUCAAGCUAGGCUUGUUAUUGGACUUUUUGGUUUCACGACCGGUCUGAAAGAUAGCAGACAGGACCCGACAGCCCUGGAUAUAACAAGCUUUUGAAAGCACAUAUCUGUCGGCCAGCGGGCCCCUGUCUUUAAGCCCCCAUUUUCUCAGGUUGACCUCGGAUCAGGUAGGAAUACCCGCUGAACUUAA
rnacentral:misc_RNA from 1 species